rnacentral:ncRNA from 1 species
GGAUGUUGGCUCAGAAGCAGCCACCAUUUAAAGAGUGCGUAAUAGCUCACUGGUCGAGUGGUUCUGCGCCGAAAAUGUAACGGGGCUCAAGUGUAUCACCGAAGCUAUGGCUUUACAGUUUACUGUAAGGGGUAGGGGAGCGUUCUAUUAUCAGAGAAGGUCAACCGUAAGGUUGGGUGGAGAGAAUAGAAGUGAGAAUGCCGGUAUGAGUAUGCGAAAAGACAAGUGAGA